CAUCUGAACUUUAAUACUCUUCGUCUUUAACAGCAGCUGCUAUAGUCUAGUGCCGAUUAAAGACGCUGCUAAAGCUGUGGUGAUACAGACUAAAACUAAAGCUAUUCUUACAGAAAGCCUGACCUCCAGACAGAAAAAAGCCCUUCGUUGUUCUGUGUGUCUGGUAGCGUCCCUGCAUUCCUGGGGUUGUGCUAGGUUCGCUGUCGCUGAGCGGUGGGAGCGAGGGGACGGUACAAAUAGCUGCUUUCACUCUUGUUGUGACAGACGAACAAAAGUAACCGAGGUAAUGGAAUCGGCUCUGAAGAAUGACCCUGUCUGUACUGCCUGGAGAUCUGGGCGGAUACCAGUUUAGGUUUCUGAUAUCGAUUUUGAACUUGGAAACGGAACCAACACAGACUUUGUUUUCUGUUUACAUUAGCUUUAGCAUUAGCUAUACAGAAAAGACGGUUGGAGUAAAACUGCAAUAUCAUUUAAACAUAGAAGCUGUACAGUACUUGAGUGUUUUGGGGACAAGUACUGCACUAUAUUAAAACAUUGACCUCCAAGGACAAAUGGAAGAGGAUUCCUUUGCUUUGCAAUCCAGGUGUUUCUAAAAAUGUUGACCAUCUGUUGCAGAAGGAUGCAAUUCAAUGGUACGUGCUCUCUCCCGGGACAGACCCAAGCAGGCCUCCAUGCUGUGCACCUCAUUGCUACAAAAUUGCAUUGGAAAUUGGAAAUUGUUCGAGCUCUUGAAAAAACCCUGAAUCAGACAUAAGCUGCCAAGCAAUUUGGUGUCUCCCGUUCUGGUGUAAUGUGGCACAGAGUGUGAAGGGUCAGUCUGCGCUGGCGUGGUACAGCCCAGCACAGGAGAAGCAGAUCGAUCCCUAGUCAACCCUCCGAAGUACACAUGCUCUCUUACACACUCAACACGCACACACAAUUCCUUGCUGUGCUGUGUGGAUGUGUGAUGAAAAAACAGCUCUCUCAUGCACUGUGCCGUGCCUCUUAUUUCGUCAUCAGUUGAGCCCCUCUCGCUAGCACACACGUCCUCUCUCUCUCUCUCUCUCUCUCUCUCUCUCUCUCUCUCUCUCUCUCUCUCUCUCUCUCUCUCUCUCUCUCUCUCAGCAGUCAGCUCCAGUCACUCACAAGGGGGGGAUUGGGCUUUGCAAAAAAGAACGCGGUGACUGCUGCUAUUUCUGCUGCAAGGGCCUCCCCUUUAGACAGCUUGUGCCAGAGCAGGAGUUUUUCACUACAACUAACUGGAUUUUAACCCUCUACCUCCAGAUUUGCUGUAUGUUCGCUUCAAAUAACGACCCAACACGGACUACAGAACAUAGCCGUGCUUCUUUCUUUUCUUUUUUGCUUUUUGAAAUCAGUUGUCUUAAUAUUCUGGGGGAGGCCACAAGUUCCUCAAUUUAUUUAUUUAUUUAUUUUUGUUACAUUGAAUAUUUUAGUUUGGUUAAUUUUUUUUUUAAAUCGCAAUUGCAGAUAAUUAUUUUUCCUCCUUUUUUUUGUUUUAAGAAAGGCAGAGCUUUGUGCUGCCCGUCAAAAAUGGCUGUAUUUUGUGAGUUCACUGCGCAUCUGCGGGUAAAGACAGCGUACGACUUGGCUGCGAAACCCACAAAGUGAAACCUUUUUUUUUUUCCUCUCACCCUUGCCUGAGCGUCUGGCUGCUGCUGGCUGGGUUCUCCUGCCACUGAAUUCUGGUGUCUUGAGAAAGAAUUCAGGGAAGAGGGACAUGAAUGAAUAUGUGACAGUAACUGCAACAAGCUUUGACCACCCAUAAUGACAGGUGAUGCCCACGUCAGAAGUGCAGUAAAGAAUGAAAUGGAUCGUUAUCGUUCCUAGCUUGUGAAUGUUGCCGUUUUUUGUGUGUGUGCAAGUGAACAGAUGCGAACCAUUAGCAACAGAAGUUAAACAUUACGAAAGUGUCUAGAGUUGUCUGGUCUUAUACAACUUUUGAGAGUAGGUCUGACAUGUUAACCAAAUUUUAUAGAAACUAAUUUGAUAAACCAUAUCUGGUAAAUAAAUUAUAAAAAAAAUAUAUUAUUAACAGGGUGUGGUGGAGUGUCCCGCCCCUAUAUGUAUUUGUAUUAUUAUUUAUAUUAUUGUUUGCGGCGCAGAUAAAAGCGCAGUGUAUUUGUUAUUGUUUUUAUAUUUAAAAACCCUGUGAGGAUGCGUGGCUGAUCAGCUACUGAUUAUUUAACUAGCUGACAGUCACGCAUCCUUACUAAACUCGUGUAGACUGUGGCCGAGGGGUAAUAAGAUAAUUAACAGCUAGUUAACCCCUCGGCCAGAGUAUAAGAACCUGCAGCUGUCCAUGCUGCGGGGGGGAAGAGUGUACAGAGGAGAGUACGGGAGAGCGGAAAACAAUUGCUAUAUUUAAAAGAUACUUGCUUCUGUUUAUUUGUUUGGCCAUCGCGCCUUUUUGUUUGGUGUUUGUUUCGUUUUGUUUAAAUUUUUUGUUUUGUUUUAUUAUUUAAUAAAACGCUGAGCGCCGUUGCGUUCAGCUUCACCAUCGCCAUCCAUUGCCUGUGUUUACUGGUACUUCCUGGUCCGUGACGUCACCACACCUCACCACUGCAAGCCAUCCUGUCACACAGGAUGCAUGACGCUGUUCCUUUUGGAUAGGAUGGAGACUGGUAUGUUUUUUCUUCCCCCAUCAUAUGUUUUAACAGGUAGAUUGUAGGGUCUUACACUGGUGUAUGUGUUCCCUGCUGGAGUUCGACUGUCCUUUGGGGUGAGGUAGUAGGUUGUAUAGUUUUAGGGUUACACCCUUCCUGUCAGAUAACUAUACAACCUACUGUCUUUCCUGAAGUGGCUGUAAAUUCGUCGCUGGAUGAGUGCUCACAAACGCCUGCAGCAUCUACCUGUUUUAAAAACAAACAUCCUGUAUAUACUGUCCUGUAUUCAACCUACGUAAACAUGGUUUUUGUGCUGAGCUAAGAGGAUGAAUCUCCCAAGUUUUAAAAUCUAUUUAUUUGCUCUUCCAUUCCAUUCCAUUGUAAGCUCAGCAAUGUGACAGCACAAACGUGUGUACCAGUCAGGGAUUUUAUAAGGUGUUGUGAAGCUGGGGUAUUGGGACUUCGAUGAAAGGAAAUUAAGCAAUAUAAUUUUACCUGUUUUUAUUUCAUGUGCAUUUGAGUAAGUGUAUUCAUCUAUAAAAUAAUAAAUAUGAUUUGCUUUUGUACUGUAUUGAACAUAUUAUAUAUCUUUUUUUCAUCAGCUUUUAGUUAAUUAUAAAAAUACUGUGCAGAAUAUAGCACCUUUAAUCUUUGGUGCAAAGUGCUUUGUAAUACCUUGAAAGAUUCUAUAUCAGUCCAAUUGAUUUUGUGUGUGUGUGUGUGUGGUUUUAUACAGUAUGCCUAUUUCAUUCUAGCAGUUAAUAGUUAAAGGUAUAAGUCUCCAAAAUGACCACUUUCCACAAAGGUAGAACAUUUGUAGCUGCUUAAGACGUUUACUUCACUCCUUAAGUAACACCUGUUACAAAACUGACUACUGUAAGUUGUAUUUCAGGUCUACUAAGCAUGUAUAAGCAUGUAUUGUUUAUCAUUGUUGUACCAGUAGCAUGAAAAUGUAUCCUUUCAGAAAUAGGAGUUUAUUAAAGACUGUCACAAACUAUUUGAAAAUAUGCCCUAUGGCUGUUCAAGGUGCUUCUCGUGUAUUAGGAUUACAAAUAAAUCAGUUGUGUAUUCCUGUCUUAUAUUACAGUGUAUAACAAUGCAUUCAAGGUUUCUCACGAGCUGUGUAAGGCUCCACGCAGUGCAGUUCAGUCUUCUCUGGCCUUCGUGCUUGUUGUGCUCUCCUCUCUGCUGAUGUUCGCACAGGGUGAGGUAGUAGGUUGUGUGGUUUCAGGGUAGUUAUUUUGCCCCAUCAGGAGAUAACUAUACAACCUACUGCCUUCCCUGAAGGGCAGCAAUGCAACACUAAAAACAAGCAACAGUAAUCUUUAAUAGUUUAGUUUCAGCAGGGGAAAUAUGUAGGGGACGUUUUCAGUUUUUCCCAUGCAACUUAAAACGUUUCCUAAAACUGGUUGUUUAUUUGAAAAUAAAAAUGUUGGUUAGCAUGGUACAGCAGAUGCAUUUCAAAAGUUUGUAGUGUUUCACUGUUUUCAAUUAAGGUGUUCUCACAAAGGAUAAACACACAGGACCAGGAUAUGUAUCACCAGUCUGCUGUAUGUUCCUUCUGAAAUUGUGUAAAUGUGUCUUUGUUUGUAAUUAACUUUCAUUACAUUAUAAAUAAACAAUUAAACAAUUAAAA